UGGGGAAUCUUGCGCAAUGGGCGAAAGCCUGACGCAGCGACGCCGCGUGGGGGAUGAAGCAUUUCGGUGUGUAAACCCCUUUCGACUGGGACGAAUGCCUCGCAAGAGGAGUGACGGUACCAGUAGAAGAAGCCCCGGCUAACUACGUGCCAGCAGCCGCGGUAAGACGUAGGGGGCCAGCGUUGUUCGGAAUUACUGGGUGUAAAGGGUUCGUAGGCGGUGUGGCAAGUUGGGAGUGAAAUCUCUGGGCUUAACCCAGAGGCUGCUUCCAAAACUGCUGUGCUUGAGUGUGGGAGAGGCGCGUGGAAUUGCAGGUGUAGCGGUGAAAUGCGUAGAUAUCUGCAGGAACACCCGUGGCGAAAGCGGGGCGCUGGACCACAACUGACGCUGAGGAACGAAAGCUAGGGGAGCAAACAGGAUUAGAUACCCUGGUAGUCCUAGCCCUAAACGAUCAGGACUUGGGGUGCCACCCGUUCGGGUGUCGUCCCGGAGCUAACGCGUUAAGUCCUGCACCUGGGGAGUACGGUCGCAAGACUG
rnacentral:rRNA from 1 species